rnacentral:rRNA from 1 species
UGAAAGCCUGGGUGCCCCGGCGAGGGAGCCCUAGCACAGGUGCUGCAUGGCCGUCGUCAGCUCGUGCCGUGAGGUGUUGGGUUAAGUCCCGCAACGAGCGCAACCCCCGCCGUUAGUUGCCAGCGGUUCGGCCGGGCACUCUAACGGGACUGCCCGCGAAAGCGGGAGGAAGGAGGGGACGACGUCUGGUCAGCAUGGCCCUUACGGCCUGGGCGACACACGUGCUACAAUGCCCACUACAAAGCGAUGCCACCCGGCAACGGGGAGCUAAUCGCAAAAAGGUGGGCCCAGUUCGGAUUGGGGUCUGCAACCCGACCCCAUGAAGCCGGAAUCGCUAGUAAUCGCGGAUCAGCCAUGCCGCGGUGAAUACGUUCCCGGGCCUU